AGGCCUUCGGGUUGUAAAGCGCUUUUCUGGGGGAAGAGGAAGGACGGUACCCCAGGAAUAAGUCUCGGCUAACUACGUGCCAGCAGCCGCGGUAAAACGUAGGAGGCGAGCGUUAUCCGGAUUUACUGGGCGUAAAGCGCGUGUAGGCGGUUAGGUAAGUCGGACGUGAAAGCUCCCGGCUCAACAGGGAGAGGCCGUUCGAAACUACCUGACUUGAGGGCAGUAGAGGGAGGUGGAAUUCAGGGUGUAGCGGUGAAAUGCGUAGAUAUCCUGAGGAACACCAGUGGCGAAGGCGGCCUCCUGGGCUGACCCUGACGCUCAGACGCGAAAGCUAGGGUAGCAAACGGGAUUAGACACCCCGGUAGUCCUAGCUGUAAACGAUGCAGACUUGGUGUUGGGAGUGUAAAAACUUUCAGUGCCGGAGCUAACGCGUUAAGUCUGCCGCCUGGGGACUACGACCGCAAGGUUAAAACUCAAAGGAAUUGACGGGGGCCCGCACAAGCAGCGGAGCGUGUGGUUUAAUUCGAGGCUACGCGAAGAACCUUACCUGGGUUUGACAUGUACGUAGUAGGAAUCCGAAAGGUGACCGACCCCUCGGGGAGCGUACACAGGUGCUGCAUGGCUGUCGUCAGCUCGUGCCGUGAGGUGUCCGGUUAAGUCCGGUAACGAGCGCAACCCUUGCUCUGUGUUAUAUGUGUCACAGAGGACUGCCGGUAUAAAGCCGGAGGAAGGUGGGGAUGACGUCAAGUCAGCAUGGCCUUUAUAUCCAGGGCUACACACACGCUACAAUGGCCGGUACAAUGGGUCGCGAAGCCGCGAGGCGGAGCCAAUCCUCCAAAGCCGGUCUCAGUUCGGAUUGCAGGCUGCAACCCGCCUGCAUGAAGUCGGAGUUGCUAGUAACCGCAGGACAGCUAUACUGCGGUGAAUACGUUCCCGGGCCUUGUACACACCGCCCGUCACGUCAUGGGAGCUGGCAACACCUGAAGUCGAUGACCUAACCGCAAGGAAGGAAUCGCCCAAGGUGGGGCUGGUGACUGGGACGAAGUCGUAACAAGGUAGCUGUACCGGAAGGUGCGGCUG
rnacentral:rRNA from 1 species